UAAAGUUGUUGCAGUUAAAAAGCUCGUAGUUGGAUUUCUGUUAAUAAUUUAUAUAAAAUAUUUUGAUGAAUAUUUAUAUAAUAUUAACAUAAUUCAUAUUACUAUUUUUUUUUUUAGUAUAUGAAAUUUUACUUUGAGAAAAUUAGAGUGCUUAAAGCAGGCAUAUGCCUUGAAUACUCCAGCAUGGAAUAAUAUUAAAGAUUUUUAUCUUUUUUAUUGGUUCUAAGAUAAGAAUAAUGAUUAAUAGGGACAGUUGGGGGCAUUUGUAUUUAACAGUCAGAGGUGAAAUUCUUAGAUUUGUUAAAGACAAACUAAUGCGAAAGCAUUUGCCAAGGAUGUUUUCAUUAAUCAAGAACGAAAGUUAGGGGAUCGAAGACGAUCAGAUACCGUCGUAGUCUUAACCAU
rnacentral:rRNA from 1 species